rnacentral:lncRNA from 1 species
AUGACUGGACUGAUGGGAGUCAUUCUGGGUUUUCCUUCUGUAGAUUAUGAUAUCUUCAAGAGCAACCACAACACUUUGUCCUUUGUUGGUGGAUACCCUUUCUGGGGAGGCAUCUUGGUUUCUGGGCAAGGGAUUUCAGCUAUGCUGCUGAUCUUCUCCCUCUUAGAGUUAAGCAUCAACAGUAAGACUUCAAAUUUCGCACUCCGAAUGCUCAUGAACAAUAACUGGGGAAGUAGCUGCAGGAAUCAGAACCUCUGCUAAACAAAUGUCAACUCUCAGGUGGAAAUGACCCUCAGUCAGCUAAAUCCUGGCCUUCCUCUCCGGGUGCAGCUGGAGCAAAGCUCCUGAGAGAGGGGCCUGGAGAAACUGAGUGGGAAGGAAGUAUUACUAUUGCUCUUUCUCUUUUCUUUUCCAGCCAAUUAUGACUAUUUCAAGUGCAUAUGCAGCCAAUUCCUAUACUCCUAAUGUAUCAACAGAGGCAACUAGGUGAAGAGACAGCACUGGGCCUGGAGUCACUAAUAUUUGAGCAUAAACACACGUUCAGAUACUUACUAGCUGUGUGACCCUGGGCAAAUCACUUAACCCUGCCUACCUCACUUUCCUCAUCUGUAAAAUGAGCUGGAGAAGAUGGCAAACUACUCCAGUACCUUUGCCAAAAACACCCCAGACGGGGUCACAAAGAGCUGGACAUAACUGAAAAAAAUGAUUGAACAAUAAUAAUGUAUCAACAACCAUCCCGAGGGGGCUGGCAACUUAGCGAAUGUCUGUUGGACUGGCCAUCGAAAAAAGUUGAAAUUCGUGGAAAAACCUCUUGGCAAAAAAAAAAAAAUCUCUUUGGCGAUUGGACUUCUCUUUACAGAAUGACAAAGACAAUCUAAGGGCUAUGUCAGUCUACUGCUAAGGGUUAUCCUUGGUUAUAUCUGGAUCCACCAUUCCCUCUCUUUACUGCACACUGGUACACCACGAUAGACCCAGUGACCUCCUGCACAGCCUCCAAAGCAAGAAAGACAUUCACAGCUCCAGCCCCACAGGGUUUUCCAGGGUUUCUCUUUACAAUCCCUUCAAUAAAAUGCUCAUUAUGUUGCUCA